UACGUAGGCAGCAAGCGUUGUUCGGAAUUACUGGGCGUAAAGAGCUCGUAGGCGGUUUGUCGCGUCUGCCGUGAAAGUCCGGGGCUCAACUCCGGAUCUGCGGUGGGUACGGGCAGACUAGAGUGAUGUAGGGGAGACUGGAAUUCCUGGUGUAGCGGUGAAAUGCGCAGAUAUCAGGAGGAACACCGAUGGCGAAGGCAGGUCUCUGGGCAUUAACUGACGCUGAGGAGCGAAAGCAUGGGGAGCGAACAGG
rnacentral:rRNA from 1 species